AUGGACCAGGAGGUGCAGCCGGACUUGGUGUGUGCUGCGACCAUGGAGGACAAGGAGAAGGAGGCGAUGAUCCAUCACUGUAGGAUGGGACAUGUAUCUUUUGAUAAGAUGAGUAGAAUCUUUCCGGAUGUUAUGUGUGGGAUAGGCAAGGGCAAGUUGACAUGUGAUGCUUGCGAAUAUGCCAAACACACACGAGCCUCAUAUGUGAGUAAGGGGCUUAGGAGCAUAUCUCCUUUUAUGCUUAUUCAUUCGGAUGUAUGGAAGAGCCCAGUUGUAUCAAUGAAUGGAAUGCAAUACUUUGUGACAUUCAUCGAUUGCUAUUCUCCUAUGACCUGGAUUUAUUUGAUGCGUCACAAAGAUGAGGUGUUUAGCUGUUUUCAGAAUUUCCAUGCCUUGGUGAAGAAUCAGUUUCAGGUGCAGGUGCAGGUGAUCAGGACUGACAAUGGGACAGAGUAUGUGAACAACACAUUUGGGGCCUACUUGUCUGAUCAAGGUAUUCUUCAUCAAACUUUGUGCCCAGACACCCCUCCUCAAAAUGGAGUGGCGGAAAGGAAAAAUCGGCAUAUUCUUGAGGUUGCUCGGUCAUUGAUGUUUACGAUGAAUGUGCCCAAAUUCUUGUGGAGUGAAGCAGUGAUGACAGCCACAUACCUGAUCAACCGGACACCAUCAAGAAUACUAAGCAUGAAGUCUCCGUGUGAGCUAGUAUAUGGAGAAACUAAGUUUGUUGUUCCCCCAAAAUUGUUUGGUAGUACCUGUUUUGUUCGUGAUCACCGUCCUUCUGUUGGAAAACUUGAUCCGCGAGCAGUGAAGUGUAUUUUUCUGGGCUAUUCUUCUAGUCAGCAGGGAUAUAAAUGUUGGUGUCCCUCAGAGAAACGCAGGUUUGUCAGUAUGGAUGUAACCUUCAGGGAGUCUGAGCCAUUCUAUGGUGAGCCAACAGAUCUAAGUGUGUUGUUUCAAGAGCUUGACCAUUUACACUCUGUGCAGGAUGGUCAAGAGGGGGAGAAGGCCGUGUCUCACACUCAGGAGGAUUCUAUGGGCACUAACAUUGAUGAUGAUGUGCAGGUUCAAGUCCAGCCAAUUGUGGGUACAAUUCCGGUUGGUACUCUCACUGAUGGUGAUGUGCAGGUUCAGGUCCAGCCAACAGUGGGUUCCAUUCAGAUUGGUAAUCUCCAGCUCCCUGUUCCAGAUCGGUGGUAG
rnacentral:rRNA from 1 species